AGUCACUGCAAUGGAGUCUUUGUCCCAGCUUCUCUGUGGGCUCCUGAUGCUUUGGGUCCCAGUUUCCAGGGGAGACAUUGUGCUGACCCAGUCUCCAGCCUCGGUGUCUGUGAGCCCAGGAGAGAGAGUCACCAUCAGCUGCAAGGCCAGUCAGAGUGUCACAAACAGUAAAGGAAACACUUACCUAAACUGGCUCCAACAGAAACCGUGACAGUCUCCUCGGCUACUCAUUUACAAGGUUUCCAACCUGGACUCAGGAGUCCCCUCCCGCUUCAGUGGCAGUGGUGC